GCUGGGUGUGGUGGUGCAUGCCUGUAAUCCCAUGACUCAGGAGGCUGAAGCAGGAGGAUUAUGAGUUCAAAGCCAGCCUCAGCAAUGGCGAGGUGCUAAGCAACUCAGUAAGAUCCUGUCUCUA
rnacentral:sRNA from 1 species